GCAGAUUCAAACAAAGAAUGUAUUGCCCACUUGGAUACCGCAGCUUGGCAUGAAGUUCAACACCCUAGAUGAGGCUUGGAAAUUUUGGGGAUAUUACGGAGGAAGGAUGGGGUUCAGCAUCAGAAAAAGGUAUUAAAACAGAAGCAAAUUUGAUGGGAAAGUUACCUCCUGCAAAUAUGUUUGUUUCAAAGUGGGUAAAAAGGCAGUAGACAAAAGAUAUAAUGUUGUUAAGAAUCCAACAGCUGAGACUAGAAUUGACUGUAGAGUUCGUAUGACCCUUUCAAUAAAUCGUGAAGCUGGUAACUGGGCAAUAUCUGAUCUUUUUCUUGAACACAAUCACACACUUCAAUUGCCAGAAGCAUGCCACCUAUUGCUAUGAAAGAGAAUGAUCUCUGAAGUGCAGGCUUUUGAAAUUGAAUGUGCUGAUGACUCUGAUAUUGCACUAAAAGCUGCUCAUGAGUUUGCUAGUUGACGGGUUGACGGAUCAUCUAACCUGAGCUACACUCCUCGGGAUCACAAGAAUCAUUUGAGAACAAAGCACUAAAGGGACCUUAAGUAUGGUGAAGCGGGUAGCAUGUUGAAGUAUUUUCAAGACAGAGCUGCAUAGAAUCCAGCAUUCAAAUAUGUUUUACAGCUGGACUGUGAUGAAAAAUAACAAACAUUUUUUGGGCUGAUGCUAAGGUGAUAAUUGAUUAAGCUCAUUUUGGCGAUGUCAUGACCUUUGACACCACUUUUGGAGCAAAUAAGGAACAUAGGCCAUUUGGUGUGUUCGUUGGAUUCAACCAUUUUAGAGAAACUGUUAUCUUUGGUGCUUCUCUCCUCUAUGAUGAGACAUCUGAAUCUUUUGAAUGCUUGUUUGAUUCUUUCUUAUUAGUACAUAGUGAGAAGCAUCCUAGAACCAUAUAUACUGAAUCAAGAUUGUGCAAUGGGAAAGACAGUUGGGUAUGUUAUUCUUGAAUCACGACAUGGAUUAUGUACACAUUUAUCUAGUUAUGUGGACAAAGAAUCUUGCAGAUUUCAGUGCUUGCAUGUAUCAACAUGGGCACCAAGAAGAAUUUGAGGAAGCAUUUGAAAAUCUGAGGGCUCAAGUGCCAGCACAAACUUGGUUCGGUAGUAUUUACAAAGUAAAAGAGAAGUGGGAAAAAUGUUUCAUGAUAAAUGCAUUUACCUUGGGUAUGCAGAGCAUGCAGCUAAGUGAGAGUAUCAACAAUGACUUGAAGCAUCAUCUGAAGUCAGAUUUAGACGUUGUCCGGUUCUUUCAGGACUUCGAAAGAGCUGUCAAAGUAAAAAGAGAUGUUGAGGUCAAUUCAGAGUUUGAUUCCAGGAAGUACUUGCCAAGAAUCAAAAUGAAGACCCCAAUGUUGAUGCAUGUUGGCCCACUUUAUACUCCUACUAUAUUCGAUUUUUUUCAAAAGGAAUACCGGAGAUCUAUAUCAGCAUGCGCCGAAGCACUAGAUGGACAAUACAAAUACAUGGUUAAAAUUGGAUAUCCUUUUGAGCAUCCAAUAUUUGAAGAAUAAUGGGAAGUUACUGGUAACCCUUUGGAACAAACACCAUCAUGCACUUGUGAUCAGUUUGAUAGACUAGGGAUAUUGUGUGCACAUGCUUUAAAAGUUCUUGACAUGAUGAGCAUUAAGUUCCUUCCAUCACACUAUAUUUUGAAGCGAUGGACCCAAGAAGCACGAGCAGGAUCUGUUAAGGAUAGUCAUGGAAGGAUUGUGAUUGCAGAUCCAAAUAUAGAGGCAGUUCUCCGCCACAAUGGCCUAUCACACAAAUUUAAUAACUUGGCAACUGAAGCAUCACAUUCUGAAGAAUGUGUACUUUGAUCGACAAUACACUUGAUAACCUUAGUAAGUGAAACGACGGUUGUUGAAUGCGGAAGUGCCUCCGCCAGCAUCAGACGAUUUGUUGAAUGCCAAAGUGACUCCUCUAGCAACAACUGAUUUGUUGGCUGCUGCUGCGCCUAAAAAAGAAGGAAGUUAACAAGGCAGCCAAAAAUUCCAAAAGAAGGAAAAAUUGGACUGAAAGGCAGUACAAAAGAAAGAAAACAGAGUUCAAGACAAAAGAAAAUCAUUCAACGGUGAAAACUCUGAAUGAGGAAGACUUGCGUGGAUAUGAGCACAUUACAAACUCCACUGAAUUACUGAAUAUGCCUAGUGCCAGAGCCUCCACUGGAGGCAUAUAUACUUAGGAUAUAUUCUAAUCAUGAUGCUUUGGAGAACAUCAGAAUCAUUAUUUUGUUGAACUUCUGUAGACUUCCAAUUGUUGAACUUUUUUAGACCUUCAAGUUGUACGGGAAAUAUGAAACUUGUUCAACUUAUUUAGUUUCUGGAAGAUCCUUUUUUACUUCCUAGAUAGAUCAGUUUCUCCACGGAUCAAUCAAAAUCAGCGACGAUCUCAAACCAAAUUUGGUGUAUAAAUCUUGAUUGGGGAAAUCACAAGCAGUGAUACAGACAAAAGAUAUAUAGGAUUGUUUUGUUCCUGUGAUACUGAAUAAGUGCCAAUAAGAAGGUUUCAGGAUAGAUUCACCUACGCCAUAUAUAGCUUGAGAAGGCAGUAAAAAUUCAGAAGGACAUCACUGUCCAAUGACGUUGCUGCGCUACCUUCUUCCCCGUGAGUUCGCCGCCUCCUCAGCCGUCCGAGUUCCUCCGUCUCCUGCUGGUUCUCCUCUGCACGAGCCCAUCCAACCAUGCCCUGUCCUCCGUGCGGCCCUAUCUCUCGCUGCACCCAUCAACUCGACCCAGCUCGCCCUCGCCCUUGAUGGUGACCACGAUGGUGACCAACGAUGGCCUGAAUAAAGGGAGGGGCAGCGGCGGCCUGAAUCGAGGGCGAGGCAACAGCGGCAAGAAGUAGUACUGGAAAAAAGAGAUCCAUCGGAUCUGAUUUGUGCGGUGGAUAUGGGCUAUGUUAGCGUCCUAACUUGGCAAGGCAAGUUAGAGGAGCCUGCUCCAGUACUCUGAAUUUUUGAAGGAACCUGAAGGUUAUGAGCAUUACUCUUUGUUCUUGUAGGGAUAGUGUAUGCACAUCUACUGCAUUGAUACAAAGAUAUUAUCGCUCAGGAUUUAGCAAAAGAAGAUUUGUCUGAAUGUUUGCGUAAGGUUGAGUUUCUGUGUAUAAAAUAUUUAUUCACAGUGAAAUCUGAAUGUGUAUAACAGCGUUUGCCGAAUACUACUUCCUUCGCACCGGCGUUCAUUGAUGUGCAUAUCCCGCCCGUCUUGCCGCAUCAUGAUCGAACCAAACGCAUUUUUGACCCAACACACCCACCUAGUAGCAGGAACUGUACCGAGCUGAUCUGUUCCCCUGUUUCUGACCUAGCUGUGUUCGCUUCACAGGAUUUUGAAACUUUUCCAGAGGAUUGGAAUGUCCAUUCCAUAGUUCUAAUGCCCUUGGUAGCAUUUGGAUCAAAGAAAACAUCUACCCCUGUAGAAAGGUUCGCUCAUAGUGGUCAUUCCAAAGGAUUGUGUAAAUCUGGUCUGGUCUCUUUUUUGAGCGGAGGCAUGAGGCAGCCACCGUGCAAAGCUGAAUAAAAAAUUACUUUCACAUGGCGGUGAGAGAAGCUAAACCGGCAUGCAAUGAAUAAAAUAUAAUAUGUUAUUGCAUUACUAGUACGAACACAAGGUUUCCAAUCAAACGAACACCUCUCCUUUUCCCUUUCGUCUGUUUUGGGUCACGCAAAAUUGCACUGUACAACCAACUCCAUUCAUGCACUCCCCCUGUUCCGACAUAGUUGUCGUUGGGGAACUUUUCCGACCAGGUGAAAACAUGAUAAACUACUAAACUACCCUCAAUUUGAAAUUCUUGUCGCCGGGGAUCUUCAUCUUACUCCAUCGCUCCUCCCCUCCGCCAGGCUCCAUCCCACUGCUGCACCUCCGGCGUCCGUCCGCGCCGGUCGCAGCUCCUCGUCGGCCACCUUCCUCCGCUCCAAUCAAGAGCCCAAACUUGUACGCAACUCCCUCGCCAUCCGCCACAGCCUCCAGCCGCCCGCGACUCCUGGCCGUCGCGCCGCCCGCGACUCCUGGCCUUCGCGCCGCCCAUGCUCCUCCCCGCACCGACCAGCAGCAGCGCCGCCCGUGCUCCUCCUCCUCCUGCCUGAGCCUUCCAGCUCCUCGAUUCAGGCACUGGAGCUCCGGAUCCGGCCAAUUGACCUCCGUCCGUGCUCCUCCCCGCACUAACCAACAGCAGCAGCAGUGCAGCCUGUGCUCCUCCUCCUGCCUCAGCCUUCCAGCUCCUCGAUUCAGGCACUGGACCUCCGGAUCCGGCCAAUUGACCUCCGCCCGUGCUCCUCCCCGCACUGACCAACAGCAGCACUAGCGCUGCCUGUGUUGCUGUUUGAAUUGAUCCAAAUUGUUAAUCGCCAAAGAAAUUGAUCGCCGGAGUUGUACCACUUCUUCUCGCCACAGACAGAAAUUGAUCAGAUGUGGUGAUUGACCAGGACGUCUUCUCACCAGUCACAACAAGCUUGAAUUGAUAGCCAGAGCAAUUUUGAAUUGAUCAGCAAGGAGCAGCCACUGUCCAUCUGUUCACCUGUCAAAACUAGCAGAUCAACAGUAGGAGCAAGGAUCAGCAAGGAGCAGCAAGGAUCAGCAAGGAGCAGAAAAUUGGCAAAUUAGCAGAUCAACAGUAGGAGAAAAUGGAUCUCCCAGACCUCAACUUCACUCCACCUGCAGAAGAUGUGGAUGAAAAUGCAGAAAAUGAAAUGGAAGGACAUGUAGGAGAUGAUAUGGAAGGAGAUGCCGGAGAGGGAAUGGAAGGAGAUGAAAUUGUUCAAAAUCCAGGUACAGUUACACUUGAUCAUUCCAUCAUUUCAUCACUUGAUCAGUCCAUCACUUCAUCACUUGAUCAUUUCAUUUAAUCAUUUCUUUGUUGUAUGUCUUGGUGCAGGUGCUGGACAAGUUGGUAGAAAAAAUAAAACCCUCAAUGACCAGCAAAAAUUUGCUGCUUAUGUAGCAUUGCAUACACUGUGUAUGAGUAGAGGAGGCACUUUUAAGAAAACCGAUACGCAAGAUAUUGCAAAUUUUUUUGCAGUGGGUGUUUGGAAUAUACAAAGAAUUUGGAGGAAAGCAAUGUUGCAAAUUCAACAAGGUCAAGAGGUAGAUGUUGCCGAUCAGAGAAAAGGAAAUUCUGGAAGAAAGCCUAAGGACAUUAACCUAGAAAAAACCCUAACAAUCCCAUUAAAUAGGAGGUCUACUAUUAGAUCACUAGCCUGGCAACUGGGAUGUAGCCCUACUACACUUCAUAGAAAGUUCAUGCUAAAUUUGAUUAGGAGGCAUACAAACUGUGUGAAGCCGGCUUUAAAGGAAAAGAAUAAGAUGGAUAGGAUGAAUUUUUGUUUGUCGAUGCUUGAUGAGGCAACAACAGCAACUGCGAGGCCUAAGUUCAAGACUAUGCAUAACGUUGUCCAUAUUGACGAGAAGUGGUUUAACAUGACAAAGAAGAAUAGAACAUAUUAUCUGCUAGAUGGGGAGGAAGAGCCUACGAGGCCUAUACACGGCAACUGUAUUGGCAAGGUGAUGUUUUUAACGGCCGUUGCUAGGCCAAGGUGGGACAGCGAAGGAAACAUGACCUUCUCUAGGAAAACCGGUAUCUGGCCAUUCGUGAAAGAAGUUCCUGCUCAGAGGAGAAGCGACAACAGGCCCAGAGGUACAAUAGAGACAAAGUCAAUAAAGGUCGAUAGAAAAGUGAUGAGGGAGUUCCUGAUAGAGAAAGUCUUGCCAGCGAUACAAGCAGUUUGGCUGGAAAGUGAUGCUGGGACAGACCAUCUACAUUCAGCAGGAUAAUGCUAAGCCCCAUAUCUUGCCAGAUGACCAGGAAUUUCUAGCAGCUGUCGCAAAAACUGGACUUGACAUUAGAUUAGUACAACAGCCUGCCAACAGUCCUGAUUUGAAUGUGCUUGACCUUGGGUUUUUCAACUCGCUGCAAUCGCUGACAGAUUGUCUGAGUCCUAAAACACUACAAGACCUUAUUGCAGGUGUUUUGGAGGAAUUUGAAGGCUAUGAUGUUUACAAGCUCAACAGAAUUUUCCUAACUCUACAAAUGUGCAUGAUUGAGAUCAUGAACCAUGCGGUGGGAAAUGCGUAUAAAAUACCACAUGUUAACAAGGAAAGGCUUGAGGGUCUUGGGCAGCUACCUCCAAGACUAACAUGCCUGAAAGAGGUUUACACGAAUGCCCUAUACAACUUAGAGGUAAUGGGGAGGGUUCAGUGAUGAGGCUUGUUCGGAUGCUUGAGAUGAGGCUUGUUCGGAUGCUUGAGAUGAGGCUUGUUCCGAUGCUUGACAUGAGGCUUGUUCAGAUGCUUGAGAUGAGGCUUGUUCCGAUGCUUGACAUGAGGCUUGUUCAGAUGCUUGAGAUGAGGCUUGUUCCGAUUCUUGACAUGAGGCUUGUUCAGAUGCUUGAGAUGAGCUUGUUCAGAUGCUUGAGAUGAGGCUUGUUCCGAGGCUUGACAUGAGGCUUGUUCAGAUGUGGAGUAUGUGUAGUUCCUUGAGAUGAGACUUGUGCGGAGUGCAUCCCAUGUGAAAUUACUCCAUAUGUGUAAUACUCCAUUUUGUGAGGCUUGUAUGUGUAACUCCAUUUUGUGAUCAUUUUUACUCCAUAUUUUUUUUCCAUUUUGUGAGACUUGUAUGUGUAAUUCAUUUGCUUGUGUGGAGUACUCCAUUUAAAUGAAAGAGAAGAGAAGAGAGUAGUAGGAGACAAGAUGAGUGAAUUUAGAGAUGAUAAGAUAAUUUAGAGAAGAAGAGAACAAGCAAAGUAGUAGGAGAGGAAAUGAGUGGGAGAGGAGAGGAGUAUGGAGGGCACAAGGGAAGUACACUAAACUACAGAUGCAAGAAGAGAAAGAGAAGA